rnacentral:lncRNA from 10 species
AUGUUGUCCAGGCUCUACUCAGCCUCCCAAAGUGCUGAGAUUACAGGCACAAGCCACUGCACCAAGCAAAAAUCUAGUUUUUUAAUGAAGGAAGGAGUAAAGUUCAGCAAGUCCAUGCUCCAUGUCCUGAACAGUAGGAGGCAUGUUGCCUCCCGAGAAUAGUCUUCUUUCUCAUCUGCAUGGUAAAUUACCAUUCCUCCAAAACUCUGUUCAAAGUCAGCUGCUCUGGGAAGAUGUCCUUGGCCCCUAGAGCCAUGGGAUGGGUGCCCACAGCACCUCUAUAUUCCUAUAAGUAUUAAGAGAAUUGUCCCAUGGCAUCAGUAGUUAUGACUUUACACAUGCACCCUUUUCCCCAACCCAUUGCUGACACACAAACUCUUUUAAGACAGGGGCACUGUUUUUUUUUUAUUGUCUCCUGUCCUAACACAAUGCAUAGAAAAAAUACUUGAUAAAACCUCACUGAAUGAAUGAAUGUCAAAGGCUGAAUUCAUGAAUUCUAGGGACGUGUUCUACAAUAGUAAUGAUGAUGAUGCUUCUAGGACACUGCAAUCUCUCCCUCAUAAGUGAGCACCUCGGAUUUAACUGUCCAGCAUCAUUUGGAGCACAGGGCGGAGGAUUAUACCGAGGAACCACACCCAUGUCAUUUGAAUUGUCCACAAGACCACUAUAAGGACUUUCCAGGACCAUCACAAGGCUGCAAACCGCAUUUGAAGUGCUGCUUCUGGGGCAUUCUUUCCAAAGAGCCUUUUAGCAGGGCAGGGAGUGAAAGGUGAGGACAAGCCUAGGAAAUACAUAAUCCAAGGCUAGGGAGAUAGAAGCUUAAUAUUUACUGCCGUGCCUGGGAAAAGUGAGGCUUGUCGUUGUCAUCUGGGCAAUUCUCCCUCGGACUAGCUCCUCUCUGUGGCCUCCUGGGGUAACUAAUGUCUUCCAGCAGCACUUCUUGCUCCAGGAAUCUGGAAUCUUAGCUGAGUGCUAUGAAGACGGUUCUGAUUAAUUGAUACACUUAAGGUAUGCACUAUCGGUUGCUAUCCUAAUCCUCCCAGGAGAUUACCUUUUCAAAGCGCUGGAAGAUUAACGAGAAUUUCAGAUGCCGUAGCAAUUUGAAGGGAAAAAAUUGUGGCCUCCACAGUGCCAGCUUGCCUGCCAUGAGGGAGACAUAUUUGAGAGUCCUUCAGCUCCCUGUGGGCUGUACAUCCAAGCAAGAAAGUCCAGAUCUUGCAUCUGAGUUGGCAACUGAAGGAAGAGACCUUGAAUCAGCACAGCAGUCAGAAUUCUGCUUGAGGGCAGCUUUGCUGAAACUAAAAGGAACAACUUUAUCUAGAACAGUCUCUCUGCACAUUCGCUUUCCCCUGUGGCAGUUGCGAUGUUAGAUUAAGUCUAUGUAUAUGUAGGGCAGAAGCGAAGUGCAGGAGGGGGUGGAGAGAAUGAUGGGAAAGAAAAGGCUCCUUCUAAACACACAUGUAUGUCAGCAUUACCAGGUGCUCUGCUGAAACCGGUAGGAUGAACACCUUCCGAACAGGCUGCAUUCCUCCCGAGGAAACUGAAGAGUGUAACCUCACAGUGAAAUUCCCCCCAAGUCUUUGGCUCUGCAGGAAGCUUCUGGCUAUUUUUCAGGAGAUGCGUUUGCUGCAGGAGGAGUUGGUACCAGUCUUCAGUUCUCAGCCUGUAGGCCCCUGACAUGGGGCACUACUCUGUACAGUUCCAGAAACCAACAACAGCCAUUUAGCAGGAGUGUUGAAACUGCAGAUUGUUCUCCACUGUUCUUCACUGUGGCUGUGUUUGGAACUACCAAAUACUAAUCCUCAGAACUUGGUCUUGGACCUGGUUAUAAAUCUCAUUCCUGCAACUCUGAACAGUGUGAUCUUGGGAGAGUUACUUAAUUUUUCUGAGUCUCAGUUUUUCUUAUCUAUAAAAUGAAGUUAGUAAUAGUAUGGACUUCAUAUAACGUAUGUGAUGAUUAAAUUACAGAGCACAUGUAAUGUGUGUAGCACAAUGCGUGGUACAUAACUAGGCCUCAACAAAUGGCCCAACAAUGUGUUGUUGGUCUAGGGUGGGAGACAGUAAUCUCCCUUUGACUGUCAUUAUCUUUUGACUGGGAAGAUUGGGUAGGCAACAAUGUUGCCUGUUUGCUGUACUUAGCUCUACUUUACUUUUUAUUUUUUUAUUUUUUUGAGACAGAGUCUCACUCUGUCACCCAGACUGGAGUGCAAUGGCACAAUCUUGGCUCACCACACCCUCCAUCUCCCAGAUUCAAGCAAUUCUCCUGCUUCAGCCUCUCAAGUUGCUGGGAUUACAGGCAUGUGCCACCAUGCCCAGCUAAUUUUUUGUAUUUUUAGUAGAGACAGCGUUUCACCAUGUUAGCCAAGCUGGUCUCAAACUCCUGACUUCAGGUGAUCCACCCACCUCAGCCUCCCAAAGUGCUGGGAUUACAGCUGUGAGCCACCGCACCCAGCCGUCUACUUCAUUCUUGCUUGGUUGUUUGCUUCCUGCUCUCACCAAAUUGUAAAGCUCACUGAGGACAUGAACUAAGAUUCUGUGGCCAACAGGGUCUUUCUAUAUAGUAGAUAGUCAAUAAAUAUUUGUAGAUGGAUGCAUGGAUAUUUUUUCAACUGACUAUUUGAAUAUGACUUCUGAUACAUAUGAGUAUCAGUACCCAGGGAAUACAUGAUCCAAGGCUGGGGAGACAUGGGCUUAAUAUUUACUAACAUUUUCCCUUACCUGCCACCUGCUUCUCUUGAGACAUUAAAUCCAAAGGCUAUAAAUCCUGCUGCUUUGCAUGGCUGGGUUAGAUUGCAUAUGAGAAUUUUGCAAAGCAAAAAAGAUACAUCACACCAACUGGCCUCUCAAUGUAUGCUCCCCUCAAAAGGCUUUCAAGCCAAAAAUCCCUAAGCAGUAAUUAUGUGCAAGGCAAAG